UGCAUGCUCUUUUCGACAAGACUCGUCAUGCUGACCCACUUCACCUCGUAGACCCCUCGAAGGCUUGUCAAGUACAAAAUUUGACCAUUGCUCCUUCCAUAUGAGACAUCGGAAUCAGAGGUUCCUGCAACUUUUCUUUUAUCUUUCAAUGCCCCUUGUCAAUCAUUAUUUCACCUGACCGUUCGAUUUCUUUUUCACUGUCUUGAAUAGGUUCCCACGUGGCUGUUAGGUGAGAUGUGAACCAUGACAUGUA
rnacentral:lncRNA from 1 species